rnacentral:rRNA from 1 species
AGCGAACGCUGGCGGCAGGCCUAACACAUGCAAGUCGAACGAACCUUUCGGGGUUAGUGGCGGACGGGUGAGUAACCCGUGGGAACGUGCCCUUAGGUUCGGAAUAACUCAGGGAAACUUGUACUAUUACCGAAUGUGCCCUUCGGGGGGAAGAUUUAUCGCCUUUAGAGCGGCCCGCGUCUGAUUAGCUAGUUGGUUGAGGUAAUGGUUCACCAAGGCGACGAUCAGUAGCUGGUCUGAGAGGAUGAUCAGCCACAUUGGGACUGAGACACGGCCCAAACUCCUACGGGAGGCAGCAGUGGGGAAUCUUGCGCAAUGGGCGAAAGCCUGACGCAGCCAUGCCGCGUGAAUGAUGAAGGUCUUAGGAUUGUAAAAUUCUUUCACCGGGGACGAUAAUGACGGUACCCGGAGAAGAAGCCCCGGCUAACUUCGUG